UUCAUACUCCCUCCGUCCCAAAAUUCUUGUCUUAGAUUUGUCUAAAUAUGGAUGUAUCAAGUCAUGUUUUAAUAUUAGGUACAUCCGUAUCUAGAUAAAUCUAAGACAAGAAUUUUGGGAUGGAGGGAGUACUAU
rnacentral:pre_miRNA from 1 species